rnacentral:ncRNA from 2 species
UACAUAUCGUGCAAAAAAGGUGCGCAAUGUUCACAUUGCGUUAAAUGGGAAGUCUGGUGUGAAGCCAGCGCGGUACCCGCCACUGUGAAGACGAGCUGAUUGCAUAUGCCACUGUAUUCGGGAAGGCGCAAUCAAGUGAUGAAUCGAAGUCAGGAAACCAGCCUUUUUCUAAUGCGAAGC